rnacentral:lncRNA from 1 species
AAAGACAGUUCUUUUCUUCCUGGAAGAACAGGCUCUCUUUACACUUUCAUUUACUCUGUUCUUGAAGUCUUUUAGCUGCUCUGUUCAUACAUAAUAUCCAAAGAAUGGGAUCUGACUAUUUCCUCUGACCUUGCCUGUCAUGAACUUGAACUGCCAGGGAGAUCCUCAGAUAACCACCUAACAGGAGGCUUUCUGCCAAAGCACAGAGACAUUGCUGCCCUUCUUUAAGACACCAUCCAGUGUGGCCUGUCAGUCCUCUGAACAGGAGUCCACAUGAUUUGGCCUGUACUCAGCAAGUGGAAUCAUUUGAAGCAUAACAGGCUCCAGAUGUUGUCCUUCACUGGUCUAUGGACGAUGUAUAUCUGCUGCUGUGAUAAAACCUCAUGACCAAAAGCAAUUUUAGGGAGAUUUAGGACACUUUCACUUCCCAAAUAUAAGCUACCAGAAGUGGAGUGCUGCUAUUAGAGGUGUGUCUUUCUAGCUUUGGGUUACCUCACUCAGGUUGUUUUUUUUCUAGUUCUGUCCAUUUGCCUGCGAAUUUUUGGAUGUCAUUGUUCUUACUACUGAGUAGUACUGCUUUGUGUAA